CCAAUAGCGUAUAUUAAAGUUGUUGCAGUUAAAAAGCUCGUAGUUGAAUUUCGGGAUCAACAUGUCGGUCGUGCCUCCGGUACGCACUGGCAUCGUUGAUUUCUACCUUCUGACGAACCGUGAUGUCAUUAAUUUGGUGUCAUGGGGAAUCAGGACUGUUACUUUGAAAAAAUUAGAGUGUUUAAAGCAGGCACACGCUUGAAUACAUUAGCAUGGAAUAAUGAAAUAGGACGUUUGACCCUAUUUUGUUGGUUUCUAGGAUCGACGUAAUGAUUAAUAGGGAUAGUUGGGGGCAUUAGUAUUCAAUUGUCAGAGGUGAAAUUCUUGGAUUUAUUGAAGACUAACUACUGCGAAAGCAUUUGCCAAGGAUGUUUUCAUUAAUCAAGAACGAAAGUUAGGGGAUCGAAGACGAUCAGAUACCGUCGUAGUCUUAACCAUAAACUAUGCCGACUAGGGAUCGGAUGAUGUUAAUUUUUUAAUGACUCAUUCGGCGCCUUACG
rnacentral:rRNA from 1 species